ACUGGACCGUGCCUAGAUCCUCCGCCAGUGGCCAAGGUCAGGUUCGAGGCUACAAGGUCACCUCCUUGUGGGCAGGCUCCACGUGGUCACAGGCUGCCCUACGUGGUCACCAGUGUUCAUACCAAAUCACAAGCAGCCACAUGGACUCACACGUAUCUCGCGAAGACAUAGACAAUUUGGGUGCCACAUGAAGUCUCAGGAAGGCCCCCACAGCUACCUACAGUCCCAGAAUAAAACUAGGUAUUCUGGGCAGGAUCCCCACAGACAUCAUCACCUGAAUUUCAAGAUCGCCUCUUCCGAAGGAUCUGGUUUGUUUUCUUCAAAUAUGCUUGGACCACCAGGCAUCCAGCACCGAGGACAGCGCCCAGACAGCCCAGCCCUCUAUACCCGCAGCCCUCAGAGACAGGCGCUGGCUGAGAUCAAAACCAGAAGCGGGUGGAAGAGGUCUCCUCAUACCCACUAGAGACCACCUGCUCUAUGUACAAGGAAUGGCUGACCUAGAGACUUCUGGGUACCAAGACUUACUAGCCGUGGUUCUGCUAUGUUUUCAUUAUUAUCAGUGAAAACAACAUGACCACCCUGCCAUUCCGGACACAGAGUGGACACUGUCCCUCACAGGCAGAGGUCGGUUUAGCCCCACCUGCUCAGGUUUUCCUGCACUUGGACUCCUGAGCCAUACUUCUCUGACGGUGGUGAAGUCCUCCAACAUUGUGGCCACGUUCCUAUAUUUUGAUAGUUUCCCACGUCGAAAAGAGACACCGGGGAUAAAAGGCAUGUGAGGACCCAGAAGGCAAGGAGAGAAUUCUCACCAGAAAACAGCCAUG